UAUGGCUCAGGAUGAACGCUAGCGGCAGGCUUAACACAUGCAAGUCGAGGGGCAUCGGGAGUAGCAAUACUGCCGGCGACCGGCGCAAGGGUGCGUAACGCGUGAGCAACAUGCCCGUAUCAGGGGGAUAAUCCAUGGAAACGUGGUCUAAUACCCCAUAGUAAUUAUGUAAGGCAUCUUAUAUAAUUUAAAGCUUUGGUGGAUACGGAUUGGCUCGCGUGACAUUAGCUGGAUGGUAAGGUAACGGCUUACCAUGGCUACGAUGUCUAGGGGUUCUGAGAGGAAGGUCCCCCCACACUGGAACUGAGACACGGUCCAGACUCCUACGGGAGGCAGCAGUGAGGAAUAUUGGACAAUGGAUGGAAAUCUGAUCCAGCCAUGCCGCGUGCAGGGAAAGACGGCCCUAUGGGUUGUAAACUGCUUUUGUAUGGGAGCAAUAAGGGCUACGUGUAGUCCGAUGAGAGUACCAUACGAAUAAGCACCGGCUAACUCCGUGCCAGCAGCCGC
rnacentral:rRNA from 1 species